AUAGCUACUUUAUACAAAGGGGAUACUACUCUUAUUCCAAUGUGGGACAAUUACAUAGCUAUCUCUAACACCUAUAUAUGUGAAGUGUGUAUUGAGGUAUUCAUAUGGAUGUAUAGUGUACUGAUCAACUGGACACUGAGGGAAACUAUGCCCAGUAUGCUUUCAUCUUUCAUGCUUGUGCUUAUCUGUAUAACUUUUGGAGAAUAUUAACUGAUUCAAUUGUUAAUUGCUGUAGAGUUUGAAAUAACAGUUGAAACUAUAUUAUAUGUUAAUUGUUGCAUAACUACGGGAGAGUUGCUCCUAACACAUGAUUAUGAGUAGUUACUAAAACUAAACUAAUUCAUUAACUCAACCAAGUUUUGAUUGUUAUAGGAUAAAUUUGAGAGUGUUGACAUGAAUGGUCAUCGUGAUCAUAUCUUCACAUGGAUGGAAGAGUUAUGGAACAAAUGGAGAGGACACUUGCAUGCAAAUAUGUGAAGGAUAAGCCAAUUCAAUAGGUUCUUAAGAAUAUUCCAAAAGGAGUAGACAAGAAAGAAUGGGAGUGGUUAUUAAAGGAACAUUGUUAUUCAAAAAAUUUUCAGGCGAGAAGCAACAGGUAUGCGGCAAAUCGAGUUAAGUUGAAGAUGCUUCAUCAUAUUAGUAGCAAGCCUAUUAAUGAGAUCAUUUAUCAAAAGGGCGGAAAAGAUGGCAACCCACCCGAUUUGGCAACAAUUUUCUUUGAAACCCGUAAAAAAGAUAACAAGCUUGUUGAACCUGAAGCAAUUGAAAAACAUGCUCAAAUAGAAGAAAUAGUUCAAGCAGAUUCAUCUCUACCUAGCAUAGAGAUUGUAGAAAAAUGUUGUGGACCUCAAACUCAUAGCCAUGUGUUUGGAUUUGGGGGUAGAGUCAAGGCGAAAGACUUGAAAGGUGGAACUUCUUCAAUUACUGUUCGCACUACGUUCAACUCGAAAAAAAACAAAUCUUUGAAUGAAUGAAACAAAUCCUUGAAUGAGCGCUUGUCUACCUUAGAAGAUGAGAUAAAAGAAAUGAGGAAAAUAAGAGAGUACUUUGCUGCUCAACAAUCAUAUGUCCCGCUUACGAUGACAUCGCCCGUUUCAACUGAAUGACCACUGUUUUUAUCUGCUGACCAGCCUUGUUGAUGUUGGUGGAUAUCACCUGGUGAAUUUUGACUGCUUUUGGGGUUUUGAAGACUGAAGCUACAAGUCAAGAUUCAAGUUUAGAAGAUGUACAAGCUCAUUAUUAUUUUCCUAAAAAUGUUAUGGAAAACUUGAUAUCAUAGUCUAGCUCAGGAUGAUAGCUAAGUUUUUUUUGUUGAGGUGUUGAGAAAACAUAGAAAGUAACAUCAUCAUGGGAUUUGAACUUGAUAUCUUAUCUUUUUAUAUCUAGACUUUCCAAUAACAAUUUGAUAUUGAUUGAUAAAAAUUACUUUUUGUGGCA